UGCCUUUCUGUUGUAAUUGAUGCCAAUAAC
rnacentral:piRNA from 1 species